GUGUUGGCUUCAGCAACACAUACAUUAAAACUGGAAUGACCCAAAGUGGAUGAGAAUGGACUCUGCCAAAGUAUGGUGCACAUUAACUGGGCCAUUUUAUU
ensembl:snRNA U6 U6 spliceosomal RNA